AAGGGUAGAUGGAUCUACGCUGAGUAGCUGAAAUUUGUAGAGAUAUUCUCCUUUUUCCAAGGUAUGCGAUGAAGUAUACAUGUCACCAUAGUGAACGCGUUGCUUUUGAGAAUCAAACACCAUAAAAAACAGUCCAUUAAAACCAUUAUCAUACAUGUUAUGUGGAACUGCAAAAUCAGCCUUUAGCUCAGUCUUCUCGGAGAUUUCAACAGAAUACGUCGCCAUCAAUUCGAAUAAUUGUUGUCCGUCAGGCAUAAUAUCUCGAUCUCCUAAAGGCUUUAUAACUGUAUUUGUUGGUUUGAAUGAAUCAACGUAGUCCUUUAAUGUAAUAUCAGGUUUAAAAUUUUCACGUCUUAUGCUGGCACAGUCAACACGCUUCAAUCCUUGGGAUGAGAUUAAAUUAAUCUCCUUGCCAUUAACAACUUUAAUGCCAUGAAAGUUGACAUCAAUAUCUAAAACCAUAGGUUCAAGCGAAGACCACCACUGUGCCAUACAAAGUUCUAACGUAUAAGAAUCGUCAAUCGAUACUAGUUUGGUAGUAACCUCAUUCUGAGUUACAGGCAUAAUUAACUCAGUAGAAGCUUCAUUUAACUUAGUUUGGGGGAUGGUUUGAUUAACACUAAUCCAAAGCAUGUUAGUAGAUUCCAAUUCAGAAGUGGCCUUCACACGAAUCUCAACAUAAGUUGCUCCUUUCGGAGGUACCAAGAAGUGACGCUUUAUCAAUGUAGGUUCAAAAGAAACAUCACGAAGAGAAAAACAAGUGUUAGAAAUAGAGGAAGGUUUCAUGACAGUCACUGGGAUUUCAAACACACAGCGACGGGAUUCGUUACUAGCGUCAUAUGCUAGGACCUUUCCAAAAUGGUGACCCGGAGCCAGAGCAGUCGGGUCAACACGAACUGGAAUUCCUCUUCCAGUACCCGCCAUCAUAACAUAUUCUGGGGCCUGGAUCCACGGUUGUGUAGUUGCGAGGGAAAGUUGAACCUCAAAGUGUGAUUUUUCGUAUUCUUCACCAUCUUCGAACUUGGGAGCGACAUUAAACAUAUGCCGCGAAGGACUACAAACCUCAGUAGGAUUGCGUAAAUACACACCACGCUUACUAUUGCCAAUGUUUCCAUUUAUUGUAAAAGAACGAGCACCAGUAUAUUGAAAAUCGGACUGGGCAAGAUACUCAUAAGCAUUAUCGACUUGAAGCAUACCAGUAUUAAAAUCAUCCCGUAAAUCCUUUGAAGUAUACAUUACAGCUUUCUUUAUAGCGGCAGCUGUAUAUGGCUUCUUUUGAGCUUUAAGAGCCGAGAGAAUUAGAGAUAUACCACCACAAGCAGACGGAGAAGACAUACUUGUACCAUUCAUUAACUGAGAAUUCUGUAAGGAAUAAGGGGGAACUGAAGUAAUUGCACCUCCUGGGGCAUAGAUUGAUACACCAGUGUCACCAUCCAGUGUAGGACCCCGAGAACACCAGGUAUAUGGCGUGUCAUGUACUGUUGAG